ACUCAGUAUUAAUUCUCUGUCUUCAUCAGUGAUACUCUACAUUUCCCUCAGUAGUUAUUCUCCCACUCAGUAUUAACUCUCUGUAUUCAUCAGUGUUACUCGAUAUUUCCCUCAGUAGCUACUCUUCCACUCAGUAUUAACUCUCUAAAUAAAUUAUGACAAUUAUGUUAGUUAUAGAAUUUGUUUGUUUUUUAAUGACGAAGGCUGUGAAAUGUUCACAGUUCUGAUAAUGAGGAAAUCAGAAAGAUUGUUUAAAACUAGUGAUGAUGUUUAUGUCAUUAUUCUUAAUCUAAUCUAAUCUAAUCUUUGCUGCAGGUGCUUGUCACGUCACAUGCCUUAGGCUAGGAUGAUAUCCAGGUAACCAUUUUAUGGGAUCAUUUGAAACAUAAGCACCCUUCUAAACACAAGGAAGCAACUGCAAUACGUGAAUCACAGAGGGUCAAGACUCAAGAGACAAAAGUCUGAUGAAGUCGAAGCUGAGCGGAGAUCGAUGUAUCAACUGACAACAUCUAAUCAGCCCACACUGGGGGCAGUCUGGAGCGGCGCCACUGUUACUAGACUGAUGAACGUCAAAAAGAUCUAAAAAGUUGCUCCUGAAAUGGAUUAUUGAUCAGAUGCUCCCAUACACGACUGUUGAGAAUGAACAAUUUCAACAGUUUGUUGACGGUUUGAACAAGAAGUUUGACAUACCCUCAGAGAAGGUGGUGCGCACAAAACUGUUUCCUGAAUUAUAUGAUAGAGUACAGUUUAAACUGAAGAAAUUUAUUGACUGAAAGGAGCUGAUUACAGUCUGAGCUGUGAUGUUUGGUUGUCAAAAGCGCUGGAUUCCUAUUUGGGGGUCAUAAUACACUUCGUAACUACAAACUUCGAAAGAAAAGUUAUUGUACUGAGAUGCCUUCCCUAUAACCGAGCACAUACCGGCAUGGGGUCUGUCCGAAGAGAAACUUCACUGCGUUAUCAGCGACACUGCUUCAAACAUGAAAAAGGCUUUGUCCGCCUGGAUCCUGUUUUCUCCAUCUACUGAAUCUCAUCGUAAAGAAUUCUGUUUUUCUCAAAGUGGAGUUAACCGGCUUAUCAAAAAGAUCAAGAGUCUUAUCAAGGAGUUUAGAACCCCUGCAGGUAAACGUCUACUGAAUGAAAAUCAAGCAGUAGAGGCAACUCUCAUCAGACCAGUUGCAGUGGACACGAGAUGGAACAGUUAUUAC